rnacentral:rRNA from 1 species
AUUGAACGCUGGCGGCAGGCCUAACACAUGCAAGUCGAGCGGAUGAAGGGAGCUUGCUCCUGGAUUCAGCGGCGGACGGGUGAGUAAUGCCUAGGAAUCUGCCUGGUAGUGGGGGAUAACGUCCGGAAACGGGCGCUAAUACCGCAUACGUCCUGAGGGAGAAAGUGGGGGAUCUUCGGACCUCACGCUAUCAGAUGAGCCUAGGUCGGAUUAGCUUGUUGGUGGGGUAAAGGCCUACCAAGGCGACGAUCCGUAACUGGUCUGAGAGGAUGAUCAGUCACACUGGAACUGAGACACGGUCCAGACUCCUACGGGAGGCAGCAGUGGGGAAUAUUGGACAAUGGGCGAAAGCCUGAUCCAGCCAUGCCGCGUGUGUGAAGAAGGUCUUCGGAUUGUAAAGCACUUUAAGUUGGGAGGAAGGGCGGUAAGUUAAUACCUUGCUGUUUUGACGUUACCAACAGAAUAAGCACCGGCUAACUUCGUG